AAAUAUUUACUUUAUGUAUCUCAUAAUUUGUAACUCAUCAUUAGUGUUUUAAUUGCUUAAACUCACAUAAUCCAAAUUAAUGUCAUCACAUAAAAUGAUACAGCAUAUUUGUUUUGAAUUUGAGUUUGAAAGUGUGAAUCUUAACUAGUCAAAUAGCCUAUUGAAGAGAUUUUGGGUGUUAGGUGAAAUCAUGUAUGGAGAAAGAAGAUUUGAAGGGCUUUGCAUAAGAAAAUUAUUAUUCUCCAAUAAUUAUAGUUUCUGUUGCUGUGCAAAACAGGGCUUAAAUUAGGAAAAGAACAAUUUUUUAUUUCAAAACUAAUUUUUGAUUUCUGAUUUCACAAAAAGGGCAACAACUCAAAACAAAUCAAAUCCUAAAACAUUAACCUCAAAAAAUAUUAGGAAGAAAGGGAAAGCUUCCUGAUGUGACUUGCUUCUAUGCAAUUUGAUACAGGGAAACAAUUCAAAACAAAUCAAAACAAAUAUGACACACAAGAAAAGGGCAACAACUCAAAUCAAAUCAAUUUUUUAUUUCAAAACCAAUUAUUAUUCUUCCUGUUGUUUCUAUGGAAUUUGAUACAGGGAAAGCUACAACUUUGUGAACAACAAUGGCAAACAAGAAAUAAAAGUCUAGCUCUCAAGCAUAACCGAUUUCAAAAAUUAUUAAGAAGAAAGGGAAAGCUUCAAUUUGAUACAGGUAAUUAAAAUUUCAGAUUUAUUAGAGCAAAUCGGAUUCUGAUUUUAUACAUUAUACAUCAGAUUGCAUAACAUGAUAGCAUAAGCGAUUCUGAUUUCAAAUAGUAUUAACAUAACAGGAGAAGAUUAGCUUACCCGUUUUUGAUGAAUUACAGUGAUCUUGAAUGACAGGGAAAGCGAGAGAAAUUGCUCGGAGAUGGCGAGUUCUCUUUAGCCGGCGAGAUGGUGGCGAGACGGCAGCUAGAUGGCGGCUAGAUGGCAGCGACGAGUGAGAUGGCGGUUAGCUGUCGAUGGAGGAGGCAGCGAUUUUUGUGUCUGCGCUUUUUUUUAGGUUACGAUUGAAAGAAUGGGUAUCGGAUAACGAGGGAAGAAAGAUAACAGAGGGGUAGAAGCGUCCUUAUU
rnacentral:lncRNA from 1 species